rnacentral:rRNA from 1 species
AGACCGAUAGCGAACAAGUACCGUGAGGGAAAGAUGAAAAGAACUUUGAAAAGAGAGUUAAAGAGUACCUGAAACUGCUGAAAGGGAACCGAAUCGUUUCCAGUGUCUAUAAUCCGUGGUAUAUUUCAUUGGCGAGUGUGUGCGUGCGUGUGCUGUGGCAGCGGCUUUUUAGGCUGCGCUCGGCGUGUGUGCUGUGUGUGCUUGCUGGUGCCCUGUACUGCGGUGGGACGUCAAGGUCAGUUCGUAUGCUGCGGGAAAUGGCUGCCGAGGAGGUAGGGCUUACGCUUGCGUUUGUCUGUUAUAUCUUGGUGGACGAGUAGUCGCGGUUGGGACUGAGGUGCCUACAACGUGCUUUUGAGUGGGUUUGUGUCUCCGUGUGCGCCGUGUGCGGAUAGCUUGACUAUGCGUGUGUGGUUGUGUGUGGAUUGAUGCGGGCUUUAACUUGUUGCCGUUCGGGACGUUGACGAAAUGGAGCGAUUCGACCCGUCUUGAAACACGGACCAAG